AGCUAGUUGGUGAGGUAAAGGCUCACCAAGGCGACGAUCUGUAGCGGGUCUGAGAGGAUGAUCCGCCACACUGGAACUGAGACACGGUCCAGACUCCUACGGGAGGCAGCAGUGGGGAAUUUUGGACAAUGGGGGCAACCCUGAUCCAGCCAUGCCGCGUGAGUGAAGAAGGCCUUCGGGUUGUAAAGCUCUUUCGGCCGGGAAGAAAUCGUAUGGGUUAAUACCCUGUGCGGAUGACGGUACCGGCAUAAGAAGCACCGGCUAACUACGUGCCAGCAGCCGCGGUAAUACGUAGGGUGCGAGCGUUAAUCGGAAUUACUGGGCGUAAAGCGUGCGCAGGCGGUUUUGUAAGACAGGCGUGAAAUCCCCGGGCUCAACCUGGGAACUGCGCUUGUGACUGCAAGGCUAGAGUACGGCAGAGGGGGGUGGAAUUCCACGUGUAGCAGUGAAAUGCGUAGAGAUGUGGAGGAACACCAAUGGCGAAGGCAGCCCCCUGGGUCGAUACUGACGCUCAUGCACGAAAGCGUGGGUAGCAAACAGGAUUAGAUACCCUGGUAGUCCACGCCCUAAACGAUGUCAACUAGGUGUUGGGUGGGUAAAACCAUUUAGUACCGGAGCUAACGCGUGAAGUUGACCGCCUGGGGAGUACGGCCGCAAGGUUAAAACUCAAAGGAAUUGACGGGGACCCGCACAAGCGGUGGAUGAUGUGGAUUAAUUCGAUGCAACGCGAAAAACCUUACCUACCCUUGACAUGUCCAGGAGCCUGAAGAGAUUUGGGUGUGCCCGAAAGGGAACUGGAACACAGGUGCUGCAUGGCUGUCGUCAGCUCGUGUCGUGAGAUGUUGGGUUAAGUCCCGCAACGAGCGCAACCCUUGUCGUUAAUUGCCAUCAUUUAGUUGGGCACUUUAACGAGACUGCCGGUGACAAACCGGAGGAAGGUGGGGAUGACGUCAAGUCCUCAUGGCCCUUAUGGGUAGGGCUUCACACGUCAUACAAUGGUCGGUACAAAGGGUCGCCAACCCGCGAGGGGGAGCCAAUCCCAGAAAGCCGAUCGUAGUCCGGAUCGUAGGCUGCAACUCGCCUGCGUGAAGUCGGAAUCGCUAGUAAUCGUGGAUCAGCAUGUCACGGUGAAUACGUUCCCGGGUCUUGUACACACCGCCCGUCACACCAUGGGAGCGGGUUCCGCCAGAAGUAGGUAGCCUAACCGCAAGGGGGGCGCUUACCACGGCGGGGUUCGUGACUGGGGUGAAGUCGUAACAAGGUA
rnacentral:rRNA from 1 species